UUUUCCCUGUCAGUAGCCACCGGUCUCCAUGUCAGCAAGCAAGUGCACAAUUUAAUAAACACUAAAAUUUGAAACUUGAAGUUAUGAAAUCUGAAACCCACAAAACACCCGACCCGAGAAACAUUUGAAAGUUAGGGAACUCUCUCUGUCACUUGCUCUCGUUUUGCCCUAACCUGAUCUCAGAAAAUGUUCAUUUUCAUAGCUCGUUUGAUACAACCGAUCUAUUUAUUGAGGUCUUGAGCAGGCGAUGGAUACCCAUCUUUCAAAAGCCGUCUUCGUUUGAUUUUGGCCUAACCCUGUCGUGUCUCUCUUCGUGAGUUGACCACCCAAACCCAAUCGGUAUCUUCCGAAAACCUUCAACGAAGCCAAAGUCGAGGCAUAUUUUCAUAUUUCUUCAUCAAAGGUUGAAUUUUUUUAAGGUUUCUGGAAACCGAAGUGGAGCUUCCUCAAUCAAUCUCAGGAGAACAGAAAAUGGAUAAACUUCUAGCUAUCAGAUUGACUAGGUUUGUUGCAUAUUGAUUAAUUUUAUCCCUGGAAAUUGAAUUCUAAUACUUGUAGCAAGAUAUUUUGGAACAUUUGAAUAUAUGAAGUAUUUGGAACCUUUAACUAGGGCCCUCUGAUCGCUGAUAUUGUAUAUUGCAACUUCAAUUGAUUUUUCCUUGGUCAAUUAACCAUGAUUUGUAAUUUGUAAAUUUCUGUGUGUAUUUCCUCUUUUAAUUUUAGUUUUUAUUUAUUUACUUAUUUACUUAUUUUUAUGUUUCUUUGUGUAACAUGUACUUGUCUAAAACUUGAAGUUGUGACCAAAUGUUGCAAACAUGUUUAAUAUAUGUUUUUUUUUUUUCCAAAACUCUGAAAUUCCUCACCUGUUAAUCUGAAUUUUCAUCAUUUCUUCCUAUAAAUUGUUAGUCCUUCGCUUGAAAAGAAGGAUGGGAGGAUGCGGAAGUUUAUAUUCUAUAUGAUGUGUUAGAAUUGUUAGUCCUUUGCUGGAGAUGUUGUUUAUAUCUUGCGACAUCUCAUAGAAUUUUUUAGGAAAAAGAAAAAGACAUGUUUGUUGCACCUCAAAUGCUGUAAGGCUGCAUUUGGUUGUUCACUGUUGUUGUAAGGAUAAAGGAUUUGAAGAUGAAAAACCGAUUAUUGCAGAACUGAGAAGUGAAGGCAUAAUUGCAAUUAGAGCAGCAGGAUUCUGCCGGGAGGGUCAGAACGGAUACACACAUUGAGAGAAAGUGGGAUGAGAAGCAUGAAUGAUGACCAUUUUGGUUGUUCGGUAUUUUCUGUCUCAAGGACAAGAUGACUCAAUUCUGUUUCUUGUACCAUUUUUAGUCCUGAUGUGAAGCCGAUUGCCAUUUGGGAUGUUCUUACUUUGGCUCUAAUACUCAACUUAUAUUUCAGGGAUUUAAUUAGAAUUAGUUGUACCCAUUUAAUUUGUAUACAUAAGAUUUUUGUAGAAUUCACUAGCAAUUUCUCCGAUGUAAUGAGGUAUAUUUGAAACCAGUAACUGAGUUGAUCAUUCUCUCUAA